GAUGAACGCUGGCGGCGUGCUUAACACAUGCAAGUCGAACGGAAAGGCCACAGCUUGCUGUGGUACUCGAGUGGCGAACGGGUGAGUAACACGUGGGUGAUCUGCCCUGUACUUCGGGAUAAGCUUGGGAAACUGGGUCUAAUACCGGAUGGGAAUCACAUGUGGGUGUGUGGUUGGAAAGCUUUUGCGGUAUGGGAUGAGCUCGCGGCCUAUCAGCUUGUUGGUGGGGUAAUGGCCUACCAAGGCGUCGACGGGUAGCCGGCCUGAGAGGGUGUACGGCCACAUUGGGACUGAGAUACGGCCCAGACUCCUACGGGAGGCAGCAGUAGGGAAUAUUGCACAAUGGGCGCAAGCCUGAUGCAGCGACGCCGCGUGGGGGAUGACGGCCUUCGGGUUGUAAACUCCUUUCGUCAGGGACGAAGCGAAAGUGACGGUACCUGGAGAAGAAGCACCGGCUAACUACGUG
rnacentral:rRNA from 1 species